GACGAACGCUGGCGGCGUGCUUAACACAUGCCAGUCGAACGGUGAAGCUCCAGCUUGCUGGAGUGGAUCAGUGGCGAACGGGUGAGUAACACGUGAGCAACCUGCCCCUGACUCUGGAAUAAGCGCUGGAAACGGCGUCUAAUACUGGAUACGAGAAGGGUCCGCAUGGGCACUUUCUGGAAAGUUUUUCGGUUGGGGAUGGGCUCGCGGCCUAUCAGCUUGUUGGUGAGGUAAUGGCUCACCAAGGCGACGACGGGUAGCCGGCCUGAGAGGGCGACCGGCCACACUGGGACGGAGACACGGCCCAGACUCCUACGGGAGGCAGCAGGGGGGAAGAUUGCACAAUGGGCGAAAGCCUGAUGCAGCGACGCCGCGUGAGGGAUGACGGCCUUCGGGUUGUAAACCUCUUUCAGCAGGGAAGAAGCGAAAGUGACGGUACCUGCAGAAGAAGCACCGGCUAACUACGUG
rnacentral:rRNA from 1 species